rnacentral:rRNA from 1 species
GCUGACUGGGGGCCGGCAGCGUGGGGAAUACGAAGGGUGCAAGCGUUACGCGGGAUUACUGGGCGUAAAGGGUGCGUAGGUGGGUUGUUAAGUCUGCCGUGAAAUCCCCGGGGUCAACCGGGGAAUGGCGGUGGAUACUGGCAAGCUGGAGGGCGGUAGAGGGUAGUGGAAUUCCCGGUGUAGCAGUGAAAUGCGUAGAGAUCGGGAGGAACACCAGUGGCGAAGGCGGCUACCUGGACCAGCACUGACACUGAGGCACGAAAGCGUGGGGAGCAAACAGGAUUAGAUACCCCUGUAGUC